rnacentral:rRNA from 1 species
CAAUAGCGUAUAUUUAAGUUGUUGCAGUUAAAAAGCUCGUAGUUGGAUUUCGGAUGGGACUUGCCGGUCCGUCGUUUCGAUGUGCACUGGCCAGUCCUAUCUUGUUGUCGGGGACUAGCUCCUGGGCUUCACUGUCCGGGACUAGGAGCUGACGAGGUUACUUUGAGUAAAUUAGAGUGUUCAAAGCAAGCCUACGCUCUGAAUACAUUAGCAUGGAAUAACACGAUAGGACUCUGGCUUAUCUUGUUGGUCUGUGAGACCAGAGUAAUGAUUAAGAGGGACAGUCGGGGGCAUUCGUAUUUCAUUGUCAGAGGUGAAAUUCUUGGAUUUAUGAAAGACGAACUUCUGCGAAAGCAUUUGCCAAGGAUGUUUUCGUUGA